UACGGAGGGGGCUAGCGUUGUCCGGAUUUACUGGGCGUAAAGGGCGUGCAGGCGGUCUGUUAAGUGCAGGGUGAAAGCUCCCGGCUCAACUGGGAGAGGUCCUUGCAUACUGGCGGACUUGAGGGGGGUAGAGGAAAGUGGAAUUCCCGGUGUAGUGGUGAUAUGCGUAGAUAUCGGGAGGAACACCUGUGGCGAAGGCGGCUUUCUGGGCCCUACCUGACGCUGAGACGCGAAAGCGUGGGGAGCGAACCGG
rnacentral:rRNA from 1 species